rnacentral:lncRNA from 1 species
CUGGUUGCAGAGGGUGUGGGAGACACUUUCUUGCACUGUGAGAAGCAGUGUACGUUUCUCUUCAUUUGCAGAUGGGCUCCUGGACUCAGGGGAGGAACCCCAUGAGUCCUCCCUCUGCUGAGCAGGCGCUGGGCCCAUCUUUGUCUUGAUGGAUGACAACCCUUCUGCCGUUGCCAUUGCUAGAAGGCUGGGGACAUCUCUGGCCGGAACAGGCCACUGUGGAGAGAAGGCAGUUAGUAGGAGAGUGGCCCGUGGGGAAGACCUAUCCUGAGGAGAAAGGUACAUGAAGUCUCCUGUUGACUCUAAUAACCUUCAAAGACCCUUCCAGCAGCUGCUAUGAUGAGUCUUGGAAGCCAGACAGAGGUAGAUAAUUGUUGAACAGUGGUAA